AAUGUCAAUGCCAGCGAGCACGUGAGCCCGUCAAGGAAAUCGAUAACUUUCAGUGUCAAAGCUUCCCGUAGGAAUACAGAAGGGGGGUUGGAAGGAUUUCCGGGAUGCCGAAGCCGAGUAUGCCUGCCGAACCUAACCCUGGCCAUGCCCACGAAAUCUAAUGGCAACACAGUCUAAUCCGCAUCACGAGCCAAUAGAGGUACAGUAGGACGAGGAUCUAAGGAAGAAAAGGAGAAAGAAACAACGUGCUAUGGUCGUCGGAGCCAUUAGCUGGGUAAAUACGCCCUAAGGAUCUCGGAAAACCGCUACACUAGUAAAUUACCAGUCCGACACGAAAGACUCUCCUUUCUCCGUUCCUUUCGUCACGCUGGGUCCUGGCUUUUCCGUCGACGCCGAAGCCCGUAAUUUUUCCGUGAUGCGCAAAAGCAAAACCGAAAACCGAUUCUACGAGCAGGGCCACCACGGACUCUCCGGACAAGACCAGCCACUAUUGACUUCGCGUACAAGACGAUGGACCGGAUGGAAUCUGAAUUUAACAACAUACGGAUAUGGCGGCUUACGCAUCUUACGGAAAUAUCCGUAACUUCCCUGGUCUGCGGUUCGACCUCAUCCGGGUUCGAUUUUGAACAUGCGUACAUGAAAAGUGGAACCGCACAAUAUCACGAAAUAAAAUAUUGAUAAAAAAAUCAACCAGUCACGAGUCUAAGAUACAGUCGAAAAA